CCUGCUCCUCCAGGCGUCAGCUGUCAGUGCUGCUGCUGUGUCAGGAGGAGCAGACAGAGACUGGUGGUCGUCUACACUGAGAACCCCCCACCAAAGGUCUCAGAGUGAUUCUCCCACCCACAGG
rnacentral:snoRNA from 1 species